AUUGGAUACUUUUCCUUCAAGGAGUCUAACUACCAACCACAUAUUUUGGAUUGGAGUCUGGUAGCAACAAUUCCCAUUCCUCUAUUUCUCUUCCCCUUAUUUGGAAUAAGAAAAGAAGAAAAGAAUAAGAAAAAAUGAACAAAGGAGAAGAAAGCAGUAGAAUAAGUAAAUGACUUCUAUUGCUUGUCUCCUGCGUAGCCUAAUGGUGGCUCUUUGGCCUAUCUCCCUAUCUGCUCCUGUUAAAAUUUAUCUGAUGAAUCCUAUUUGAAUUG
rnacentral:lncRNA from 1 species